UUCAUAACCCUUUGUUGUCCGACUCUGUUGCCUCCGGGGCGACCCUGCCUUCGGGCGGGGGCUCCGGGUGGACACUUCAAACUCUUGCGUAACUUUGCAGUCUGAGUAAACUUAAUUAAUAAAUUAAAACUUUUAACAACGGAUCUCUUGGUUCUGGCAUCGAUGAAGAACGCAGCGAAAUGCGAUAAGUAAUGUGAAUUGCAGAAUUCAGUGAAUCAUCGAAUCUUUGAACGCACAUUGCGCCCCCUGGUAUUCCGGGGGGCAUGCCUGUUCGAGCGUCAUUUCACCACUCAAGCCUCGCUUGGUAUUGGGCAACGCGGUCCGCCGCGUGCCUCAAAUCGACCGGCUGGGUCUUCUGUCCCCUAAGCGUUGUGGAAACUAUUCGCUAAAGGGUGCUCGGGAGGCUACGCCGUAAAACAAACCCAUUUCUAAGGUUGACCUCGGAUCAGGUAGGGAUACCCGCUGAACUUAAGCAUAUCAAU
rnacentral:rRNA from 1 species